rnacentral:tRNA from 1 species
GCCUGGGUGGCUCAGUCGGUUGAGUGUCCGACUUCAGGUCGGGUCAUGAUUCACAGUUCGUGGGUUCGAGCCCCGCGUCAGGCU